rnacentral:rRNA from 1 species
GACAGGGGUCUCGAGCGUUAAUCGGAAUUACUGGGCUUAAAGGGUGCGUAGGUGGGUCCGCAAGUGCUCCGUGAAAUCCCCCGGCUCAACCGGGGAACUGCGGGGCAUACUGCGGGUCUUGAGGAAGGUAGGCGCCGAGGGAACAGUAGGUGUAGCGGUGAAAUGCGUAGAUAUCUGGAGGAACACCGGUGGCGAAGGCGGCAUCCUGGACCGGCAUUGACGCUGAGGCGCGAAAGCCAGGGGAGCAAACGGG